rnacentral:rRNA from 1 species
ACUCUGCGGGAGGCAGCAGUGGGGAAUUUUGGACAAUGGGCGAAAGCCUGAUCCAGCAAUGCCGCGUGAGUGAAGAAGGCCUUCGGGUUGUAAAGCUCUUUUGUCAGGGAAGAAACGGUGAGAGCUAAUAUCUUUUGCUAAUGACGGUACCUGAAGAAUAAGCACCGGCUAACUACGUGCCAGCAGCCGCGGUAAUACGUAGGGUGCAAGCGUUAAUCGGAAUUACUGGGCGUAAAGCGUGCGCAGGCGGUUUUGUAAGUCUGAUGUGAAAUCCCCGGGCUCAACCUGGGAAUUGCAUUGGAGACUGCAAGGCUAGAAUCUGGCAGAGGGGGGUAGAAUUCCACGUGUAGCAGUGAAAUGCGUAGAUAUGUGGAGGAACACCGAUGGCGAAGGCAGCCCCCUGGGUCAAGAUUGACGCUCAUGCACGAAAGCGUGGGGAGCAAACAGGAUUAGAUACCCCGGUAGUCCCAUGA